GCUCUCUGGAAGGUCCGUGCAGAACUCCCGUUGGAUGCUAGCUAAGCAGUGCUGACUUGCCCUCGGGCUGGGCACAGCCAACAGGCAGCCCCAACCCUGCCUCCUAGGAAGGACCAGUCUACCAGAUGCUAUAGGCUCCGCUCCAGGAAGGGCCAGAUACAGACUUCUCUUAUACCUUGGAUUAUUGCCCAACUCCUGUUCAUCUGAUUCUGGCAUCUUAUUUCCAAG
rnacentral:lncRNA from 1 species